rnacentral:rRNA from 1 species
CGGGUGAGUAACGCGUGGGUAACCUGCCUUAUACAGGGGGAUAACAGUCAGAAAUGGCUGCUAAUACCGCAUAAGCGCACAGAGCUGCAUGGCUCAGUGUGAAAAACUCCGGUGGUAUAAGAUGGACCCGCGUUGGAUUAGCUUGUUGGUGGGGUAACGGCCCACCAAGGCGACGAUCCAUAGCCGGCCUGAGAGGGUGAACGGCCACAUUGGGACUGAGACACGGCCCAGGCUCCUACGGGAGGCAGCAUG